UUCUCCCUAGAUAAAGACGGUUAUAGCAAUCUGCUUCUGUAUCUGCCAAGAACUCUGAAUGGAUAUGUCCACUGANCCAACCCAAACUCCGUAGCAUCCAACAACAACAGUGUAACACAUCUGGAGGGUCCUGCUUGAGGAUGGUUAUCCUAGGUGCAGAUCAGCUGGGACUGCCUCAUUGUGUCCUGUUAUUUCCUGUUUUGAAAAUGGAGGCAAUAUUGAAGCAUAGGUAGGAAGGCCAAUGUAGAGAUUACUCCAAUGAUGUUAGCACUGGGCACAGAUAGCAGUGACGACGAUCGUGCCCCUCCAUGCUUUCUCUGUCAUGGGGGGACUGAGGAGUACAACCUCUACUUGUCCUGGGAAAUCAGAGUUUGAGGUGUAGCCUCUUGGUAGCUUUCUAANUGGUGGGUGAGCAUAAGAGAGGAAGAGAGAGAACUAUUGACAUACCUCUUUAGUCCUUUGAAAGAUGGACCAUCCUGCUGAGGAAAGGAAGGGCCAGUAUUGGCUAGUUAACUGGAGUGGGGGAUGAAAUAGUCCUGUGUCCAUUUUCUCAUUUGGGGAAAGGAGAACAGCUCUGUUUUCUAAUGUGCUUCCUCCGUAAGUGAUCUUGCUUUAGGGAUGGCAUUACCUAGUGGAGAUUGUAGCCCCAUUAUUUUCUGGCUCCUUACUGUUCUAUCUUCAUUUUUGGUAGGUCGCUGUAGCAUUUCUGAGCAGAGGCCUGAUGUUCACAGGAUGAAAAGCCAGCCAUCAUGGUUAAGGUAGCUUCAUUCAGGGGCAUCUGCUAUCCCAAUGAGGUUGAACAACUGUCUGGAAAGGAGAUAGUCACAGGUUUGAUUCCCAGCAUCUGCAUGGAAGAAGUGAGAGCAACAACAAAAAGACCCCAGUGGCACUGCAGGAGGAGAAAAAGAUUUCAGAAGACUUUUUCAGACUGCCACCAUUCCAUUCAGUCCANGUUCUUUCUGUGGCAGGGGCUUUAACUUCACAGCAACUGAGUCUCGAUAUGAUUGCUCACUCAUCCUCAGAUUCUAAAGUGGUUUAAAGAUCUUACCAGUCCAGGGUCACCACCCACCAUUUCUGUCUUUUAGAGAGAUGAUUGUAAAGUGGCAUUAUGCAAGCCACAUGUUUUGAAGCUNGUGGACUCCAGGUGUUGCACCUACAUCACUGCUUUCCAUUGAUUGUGCUAGCUGGGGCAGAUGGGUAAUAAAGCUGGAGCACAUCACGUUAAGAAAGACUGA
rnacentral:lncRNA from 1 species